CUCAGACCGUACGCCGUGUACGUGCACGUUCCCUAUGGACAGAGGACUCAGGUCUACGGCUUGGGAGGAUACUUCGACGGGAACAGAGACAACGACUUCGUAAGUCGAAGUGGGAAUCUGUCGAGCCUCGAAGUCUUUGCGAAUUCGUGGAAGACACCAAACCAAGACAACCUUCCGUGUGAGAGUCCUCGAGGGGGGGUUGAUCUUUGUCAGUCAGUAUCUGCAUCAGAGACUGUGAACAAGAGAACGGCAUGCAUGAAUGCGCUUGCACAAUUUGAGGCUGCAUUGGAAAAUGAGGAAUUCCAAGCUCGCCUGGAUGCUUGCGUUCAGGAUCUAUGUGCCUGCGAAGCUGGGAAGACGGAUACUUGUUUGAAAACUGUCACUGACACCGCAAAAGAUUCAAAGGAUGACAGGACAAAUACA